AUUGAACGCUGGCGGCAUGCCUUACACAUGCAAGUCGAACGGCAGCAUGGAGAGCUUGCUCUCUGAUGGCGAGUGGCGAACGGGUGAGUAAAGCAUCGGAACGUACCGUGUAGUGGGGGAUAACGUAGCGAAAGCUACGCUAAUACCGCAUACGCCCUGAGGUGGAAAGCAGGGGAUCGCAAGACCUUGCGCUAUACGAGCGGCCGAUGUCAGAUUAGCUAGUUGGAAGGGUAAAGGCCUACCAAGGCGACGAUCUGUAGCGGGUCUGAGAGGAUGAUCCGCCACACUGGGACUGAGACACGGCCCAGACUCCUACGGGAGGCAGCAGUGGGGAAUUUUGGACAAUGGGGGCAACCCUGAUCCAGCCAUGCCGCGUGAGUGAAGAAGGCCUUCGGGUUGUAAAGCUCUUUCGGCCGGGAAGAAAUCGCACAGGCUAAUACUCUGUGUGGAUGACGGUACCGGCAUAAGAAGCACCGGCUAACUACGUGCCAGCCGCCGCCGUAA
rnacentral:rRNA from 1 species